GCCAGACAAUGGCAGUGCCAAAGGACACGCACAGUCAC
rnacentral:SRP_RNA from 1 species